rnacentral:rRNA from 1 species
UACAGAGGGUGCGAGCGUUUAAUCGGAAUUACUGGGCGUAAAGCGCACGUAGGCGGCUUUGUAAGUUAGAGGUGAAAGCCCGGGGCUCAACUCCGGAAUUGCCUUUAAGACUGCAUCGCUAGAAUUGUGGAGAGGUAAGUGGAAUUCCGAGUGUAGAGGUGAAAUUCGUAGAUAUUCGGAAGAACACCAGUGGCGAAGGCGACUUACUGGACACAUAUUGACGCUGAGGUGCGAAAGCGUGGGGAGCAAACAGG